rnacentral:rRNA from 1 species
GUGCCAGCAGCCGCGGUAAGACGAAGGUGGCAAGCGUUGUUCGGAAUCACUGGGCUUAAAGGGCACGUAGGCGGCCCAUCAAGCGUUUUGUGAAAUCCCUCGGCUCAACCGAGGAAUUGCUUGACGAACUGAUGGGCUUGAGGCAGGCAGGAGCGGGUGGAACUCUUGGUGGAGCGGUGGAAUGCGUAGAUAUCAAGAGGAACGCCGGUGGUGAAAACGACCCGCCGGGCCUGUCCUGACGCUGAGGUGCGAAAGCCAGGGGAGCAAACGGGAUUAGAUACCCCGGUAGUCCUGGCCAUAAACGAUGUCCACUAGGUCGAUGGUUCUCUGACGUUCUAUCGGCCGGAGCGAAAUUGUUAAGUGGACCGCCUGGGGAGUACGGUCGCAAGGCUAAAACUCAAAGGAAUUGACGGGG